rnacentral:lncRNA from 1 species
ACUCUAUAUAUUUUGUCCCCUAGGCUCUUUUAUAUCGGGCUUGUUCGGACUUGAAAGUGGCUAUAAUUUUUCCCUUUUUCGGAUAAAAAACUUAGUGAAAAUUUAUCUAUGCCUUAGCAUGUGUUUUUUGUACCCGUUAGGUUUUAUGGAGGUUCUUCGGAUCGAAACCUUAUUUGUAAUUUGUUUGUGUAAACAUAAUCGAAUACCCUUUGAGGUUUUUCUGAAGGUUGAUGUUAUCAAAGCCUUUAAAUUGUUGGAGGUCAGAUUUUGCUGAAGCCCUUUAUCAUUUUCUUUUGUCAAUGGUAGCUAGAUUUAACCGAUUUUUUCAAAGUGUUUGAAGGCCUUUAAUUUAUGGCAGAAGUCGGAUUUCUCUGAGCAGCAUUACUAUAGUCGUAGCCUUUUUAUAUAAUUGUAGUCUUUGAUAUGGUCGUAGCCUUCGGGUAUGUCUCUUGGACUUAUUCCCCGAUAUCCUUUCGAACUUGGUCGAAAGGUUAGUACCCGAGUAUGAUGGCAUUGGUCUUUAUAUCG